rnacentral:rRNA from 1 species
GAUGAACGCUGGCGGCGUGCCUAAUACAUGCAAGUCGAGCGAACAGACGAGGGGCUUGCUCCUCUGACGUUAGCGGCGGCCAGGUGAGUAAUACGUGGAUAACCUACCUAUCAGACUGGGAUAACUUCGGGAAACCGGAGCUACUACCGGGUAAUAUUUUGAAUCGCUUGGUUCACUAGUGAAAGAAGGAUUUGCUGUCACUUAUAUAUGGGUCCGCGCUGCAUUCGCUAGUUGGUAAGGUAUCGGCUUACUAAGGCGACGGUGCGUAGGCGACCUGAGAGGGUGAGCGGCCACACAGGAACUGAGACACGCUCCAGACUCCUACGGGAGGGAGCAAGAGGGAGUCUACCGCAAUGGACGAAAGCCUGACGGAGCAACGCCGCGUGAGUGAGGAAGGUCUGCGGAUCGUAUAACACUGUUAUUAGGGAAGAACAAAUGUGUAAGUAACUAUGCACGUCUUGACGGUACCUAAUCAGAAAGCCACGGCUAACUACGUG